CGGCACGCCUUAUACAUGCAAGUCGAACGAAGUAGUAAUACUUAGUGGCAGACGGGUGAGUAACAUGUAGGUAUCUUCCCUUUGGUGAGGAAUAACACGAGGAAACUUGUGCUAAUACCUCAUAAGUCUUUACAGAGAAAGCUUUAUGCGCCAGAGGAUGAGCCUGCACUUGAUUAGUUUGUUGGUGGGGUAAAAGCCUACCAAGACUGUGAUCAAUAGCUGAUCUGAGAGGAUGAUCAGCCACAUUGGGACUGAGACACGGCCCAAACUCCUACGGGAGGCAGCAGUAGGGAAUAUUGCACAAUGGAGGAAACUCUGAUGCAGCGAUGCCGCGUGAGUGAAGAAGGCCCUUGGGUUGUAAAGCUCUUUCGUCGGGGAAGAAAAUGACUGUACCCGAAUAAGAAGGUCCGGCUAA
rnacentral:rRNA from 1 species